GACGAACGCUGGCGGCGUGCUUAACACAUGCAAGUCGAACGGAAAGGCCCUGCUUGCAGGGUGCUCGAGUGGCGAACGGGUGAGUAACACGUGGGUGAUCUGCCCCUUACUUUGGGAUAAGCCUGGGAAACUGGGUCUAAUACUGGAUAGGACCAUGCUGUAGGUGGUGUGGUGGAAAGAUUAGUUUCGAUAAGGGAUGAGCUCGCGGCCUAUCAGCUUGUUGGUGGGGUAAUGGCCUACCAAGGCGUCGACGGGUAGCCGGCCUGAGAGGGUGGACGGCCACAUUGGGACUGAGAUACGGCCCAGACUCCUACGGGAGGCAGCAGUGGGGAAUAUUGCACAAUGGGCGCAAGCCUGAUGCAGCGACGCCGCGUGGGGGAUGACGGCCUUCGGGUUGUAAACUCCUUUCAGCCAUGACGAAGCCCUUGUGGUGACGGUAGUGGUAGAAGAAGCACCGGCUAACUACGUG
rnacentral:rRNA from 1 species